rnacentral:misc_RNA from 1 species
UUUAUGUUUGCAGAUCCCAAUAUUACAUACUCAUCAUCCACUAUCAUCCCUUUUGAAUGGACAUAAAUCAUGAAUCGCCGGCUUUUUUGACUGAGUGCCUGAGGAGUGUUUGCAGCAGUGGGACUGCUCGAAGUGUCAUUCGUGUCUGUGAACUCACGAUUACCAAGACAGAAGAAGUUCAAAUAAUCCUGAGGUGAGAACACAUUCUCAAGUCCAACCUCCUCUAAAGCCUUCAAAAUUGUCUCAUACAUCAUUUGCAUAGUU